rnacentral:rRNA from 1 species
GAUGAACGCUAGCGGCAGGCUUAACACAUGCAAGUCGAGGGGUAUAGUUCUUCGGAACUAGAGACCGGCGCACGGGUGCGUAACGCGUAUGCAAUCUACCUUUUGCAGAGGGAUAGCCCAGAGAAAUUUGGAUUAAUACCUCAUAGUAUGUGAGAAUGGCAUCAUUUUCACAUUAAAGUCACAACGGCAAAAGAUGAGCAUGCGUCCCAUUAGCUUGUUGGUAAGGUAACGGCUUACCAAGGCAACGAUGGGUAGGGGUCCUGAGAGGGAGAUCCCCCCACACUGGUACUGAGACACGGACCAGACUCCUACGGGAGGCAGCAGUGAGGAAUAUUGGACAAUGGGCGCAAGCCUGAUCCAGCCAUGCCGCGUGCAGGAUGACGGUCCUAUGGAUUGUAAACUGCUUUUGUACAGGAAGAAACACUGGUUCGUGAACCAGCUUGACGGUACUGUAAGAAUAAGGAUCGGCUAACUCCGUGCCAGCAGCCGCGGUAA